UGGGGAAUAUUGCACAAUGGGCGCAAGCCUGAUGCAGCGACGCCGCGUGAGGGAUGAAGGCCUUCGGGUUGUAAACCUUUUUCGCUCAUGGUCAAGCCGCAGCUUUGGGUUGUGGUGAGGGUAGUGGGUAAAGAAGCGCCGGCUAACUACGUGCCAGCAGCCGCGGUAAUACGUAGGUGGCAAGCGUUGUCCGGAAUUAUUGGGCGUAAAGCGCGCGCAGGUGGUUUAGAAAGUCUGAUGUGAAAGCCCACGGCUCAACCGUGGAGGGUCAUUGGAAACUAAUAAACUUGAGUGCAGGAGAGAAAAGUGGAAUUCCUAGUGUAGCGGUGAAAUGCGUAGAGAUUAGGAGGAACACCGGUGGCGAAAGCGGCUUUUUGGCCUGCAACUGACACUGAGGCGCGAAAGCGUGGGGAGCAAACAGG
rnacentral:rRNA from 1 species